AAGGCUCUGGCUUAAUUAAAGCGUCUGGGUUGCAUUCAGGAGAUGCAGGUUAGUAUCCUGCGAGUCUUA
rnacentral:tRNA from 2 species